rnacentral:rRNA from 1 species
UACGAAGGGGGGCUAGCGUUGCUCGGAAUUACUGGGCGUAAAGGGUCCGUAGGCGGUGUAGCAAGUCGGAAGUGAAAUCUCUGGGCUUAACUCAGAGGCUGCUUCCGAAACUGCUGUGCUAGAGUGCGAGAGAGGCGAGUGGAAUUGCGGGUGUAGCGGUGAAAUGCGUAGAUAUCCGCAGGAACAUCCGAGGCGAAAGCGGCUCGCUGGAUCGCAACUGACGCUGGAGGGACGAAAGCUAGGGGAGCAAACAGG